AUUGAACGCUGGCGGCAGGCCUAACACAUGCAAGUCGAACGAGUGGCGGACGGGUGAGUAAUGUCUGGGCAACUGCCUGAUGGAGGGGGAUCACUACUGGAAACGGUAGCUAAUACCGCAUACCAUCGGAUGUGCCGAGAUGGGAUUAGCUAGUAGGUGGGGUAAAGGCUCACCUAGGCGCCGAUCCCUACCUGGUCUGAGAGGAUGACCAGCCACACUGGAAAUGAGACACGGUCCAGACUCCUACGGUAGGCAGCAGUGGGGAAUAGUGCACAAUGGGCGAAAGCCUGAUGCAGCCAUGCCGCGUGUGUGAAGAAGGCCUUCGGGUUGUAAAGUACUUUCAGCGGGGAGGCGUUACCCGCAGAAGAAGCACCGGCUAACUCCGUGCCAGCAGCCGCGGUAAUAC
rnacentral:rRNA from 1 species